UACGGAGGAUGCAAGCGUUAUCCGGAAUUAUUGGGCGUAAAGCGUCCGCAGGUGGCUGUGUAAGUCUGCUGUCAAAGAGCGAAGCUCAACUUCGUAAAGGCAGUGGAAACUACACGGCUAGAGUGCGUUCGGGGCAGAGGGAAUUCCUGGUGUAGCGGUGAAAUGCGUAGAGAUCAGGAAGAACACCGGUGGCGAAGGCGGCUUCCUGGACCGACACUGACGCUGAGGCGCGAAAGCCAGGGGAGCAAACGGG
rnacentral:rRNA from 1 species